GACGAACGCUGGCGGCGUGCUUAACACAUGCAAGUCGAACGGAAAGGCCCCCACCUUGGUGGGGGUGCUCGAGUGGCGCACGGGUGAGUAACACGUGGGUGAUCUGCCCUGUACUUCGGGAUAAGCUUGGGAAACUGGGUCUAAUACCGGAUAGGACCAUGGUUUAGUGUCUCAUGGUGGAAAAAUUAUUGUUUUGGUGCAGGAUGAGCUCGCGGCCUAUCAGCUUGUUGGUGGGGUAAUGGCCUACCAAGGCGUCGACGGGUAGCCGGCCUGAGAGGGUGGACGGCCACAUUGGGACUGGGAUACGGCCCAGACUCCUACGGGAGGCAGCAGUGGGGAAUAUUGCACAAUGGGCGCAAGCCUGAUGCAGCGACGCCGCGUGGGGGAUGACGGCCGUCGGGUUGUAAACUCCUUUCGUUAGGGACGAAGCCACACCUUUUUUGGGUGUGGUGACGGUACCUUUGUGAAGAAGCACCGGCUAACUACGUG
rnacentral:rRNA from 1 species